rnacentral:rRNA from 1 species
GGAAUCUUGCGCAAUGGACGGAAGUCUGACGCAGCGACGCCGCGUGGGUGAAGACGGCCUUCGGGUUGUAAAGCCCUUUUCUGGAGGAAGAGGGAGGACGGUACUCCAGGAAUAAGUGUCGGCUAACUACGUGCCAGCAGCCGCGGUAAUACGUAGGACACGAGCGUUAUCCGGAUUUACUGGGCGUAAAGCGCCUGUAGGCGGUUCUUCAAGUCGUUUGUGAAAGCCCUGGGCUCAACCUGGGGAGGCCAAGCGAUACUGGAGGACUUGAGGGUGACAGAGGGGAGUGGAAUUUCCGGUGUAGCGGUAAAAUGCGCAGAUAUCGGGAGAGCACCAGUGGCGAAGGCGGCUCCCUGGGUCACACCAGACGCUGAGAGGCGAAAGCUAGGGGAGCGAACA